GAUGAACGCUGGCGGCGUGCCUAAUACAUGCAAGUCGAGCGAACAGAUGAGGAGCUUGUUCCUCUGACGUUAGCGGCGGACGGGUGAGUAACACGUGGAUAACCUACCUAUAAGACUGGGAUAACUUCGGGAAACCGGAGCUAAUACCGGAUAAUAUAUUGAACCGCAUGGUUCAAUAGUGAAAGACGGUUUUGCUUUCACUUAUAGAUAGAUCCGCGCCGCAUUAGCUAGUUGGUAAGGUAACGGCUUACCAAGGCAACGAUGCGUAGCCGACCUGAGAGGGGGAUGGGCCACACGGGAACUGAGACACGGUCCAGACUCCAACGGGAGGCAGAAGUAGGGAAUCUUCCGCAAUGGGCGAAAGCCUGACGGAGAAACGCCGCGUGAGUGAUGAAGGUCUUCGGAUCGUAAAACUCUGUUAUUAGGGAAGAACAAAUGUGUAAGUAACUAUGCACGACUUGACGGUACCUAAUCAGAAAGCCACGGCUAACUACGUG
rnacentral:rRNA from 1 species